GACCCGACUGCUAUUUGGGUGAGAAUAAGCCAUGCGAGUUGAAUGGGAUACCUAAAGUUCCCAUAGCAAACUGCUCAGUAACACAUGAUCAACUUACCCUAUAGAGAAAAAUAACCUCGGGAAACUGAGGAUAAUGUUUCAUAAUUGAAUUGGCUUGGAAAAGUUUUUCAAUGAAAAGGAUAAAAAAAAUGGUUUUUAUCUGCUAUAGGAUAGGAUCGUGUUCGAUUAUGGUUGUUGGUGAGAUAAUGGCUCACCAAGCCGAUAAUCGAUAGGGGCCGUGAGAGCGGGAGCCCCGAGAUGGGUACUGAGACAACGACCCAGGCCUUACGAGGCGCAGCAGGCGCGGAACCUCCGCAAUACACGAAAGUGUGACGGGGUUACCCAAAGUGUUCAAUAGAACUGUGGUAGGUGAGUAAUGUCCCCUACUAGAAAGGAGAGGGCAAGGCUGGUGCCAGCCGCCGCGGUAAAACCAGCUCUUCAAGUGGUCGGGAUAAUUAUUGGGCUUAAAGUGUCCGUAGCCGGUUUAGUAAGUUCCUGGUAAAAUCGGGUAGCUUAACUAUCUGCAUGCUAGGAAUACUGCUAUACUAGAGGGCGGGAGAGGUCUGAGGUACUACAGGGGUAGGGGUGAAAUCUUAUAAUCCUUGUAGGACCACCAGUGGCGAANGCGUCAGACUGGAACGCGCCUGACGGUGAGGGACGAAAGCCAGGGGAGCGAACCGGAUUAGAUACCCGGGUANUCCUGGCCGUAAACGAUGCAUACUANGUGAUGGUACGGCCAUGANCCGUAUCAGUGCCGUNNGGAAACCGUUAAGUGUGCCGCCUGGGAAGU
rnacentral:rRNA from 1 species